GGUGGCCUAGUUGUUAGAACGUCCGUCUCGGAUGCGGGAGGUCACGGUUUCGAACCCCGGUCAUACCA